AUAAAUUUAAAAGACCUGGGUUAAGUCCAAACUUUUUUGCUAAGCCCUUAUCCAGACCCAAUAUAUAUGAACUUUACAAUUUUUGGGCCCAUAUCCCAGCCCACCCAUUGCUGAGCCUGGGCUGUGCUUGAUCGGGCCUGGGCCAACCCAUGCUUUUUUGCCACUCCUAUAUAAUGCUAGCCUACUUCACCAGUUGACUUGGUCACAUCAAAGCCUCCAUCACUACAACUUGGCCACACCCAGCCUCUAACGCCAUUAUGGCUUAGCCACACCUUGCUUCCGCCAUUACGACUUGGCCAUACCCGGCCUUUGCCGUUCACGAUGCUGGCGCACUACUGACUAAUUGAUAUGUGAUGGGCAUAAUAUAUUGAUAUAUUUUCCCUCAAAUCAUAUGAUAGUUGGUCUCUUUUAUUUUUAUUUUUAUUUUUAACAAGUUUAUUUAUUUUAUUGAACAGGAAAAUUAACUGGGGAUUUGCGAUUAAAUGAGCAUAAAAGAAUCAAAAUUGGAUAGAUUGAAGCUAUCGGAAUUGUUGCAAAUGGGCUUGGGCAAACGAAAUCUUAUUUGGACCUUUUUAAUGCUUUCCCGUGUAAAAGCAUAAAGCAAUAAGGAAUAUUAUCUAUGGGCAUUAUAUUAGGCAUGCGAAUAUCCAUAUGGACUGCAUGUGAAAGCCCAUUGCAAGGUUUUUAUUUCCUUGAUUUGCAGGAGACGCUGGCUAUAAUCAAAAUAAUAAAAGAAUUUGAUUUGAUUUGGGAAGUCGGUGGCCUAAGCCAAGUCUUCGGCUUUUGCACAGAAAGAGGGGUAGCAGCGCCCAAGAGGAAUUGAAGCGGAGCAGCAGCGACGGCUUGGAGAAAGAGCCAUCCGCUCGGAUUGAUUUCCCCUGACGGUAUUUUCUAUUCUUUUAUCCGCAGUUUAAUUAUGUGUAACUAAAUUUUUUAUAUUAGAAUUAUGGAUAAAGACCUGUUUAAUAAAAUAAAUUGACUUUUUAUUCAAUUAAUUCCCUAUAUGUGUGUUUUGAUAUUUAAUUCUUGUUUCAGAUGUUUAGUUGAAUAUUAUUAAAUUUUUUCACCAAUUCUGUCAUGCAUUAUUGAUUAUUAGAAUUAUUAUUUGACUAAAUCGAUACUUGAAUCCAUAAAGCUUAUAAGUAAUUAUCUUUGAUUAUGUGUCUUUCAUUAAAUUGUUUAUAUAGAGUUGAUUUUGAUUUUUUGCUAUUGCAUAAUGUUUACAUGAUAUGCUUAAAUAUCAUGCUAUUAAGUAAAAAAAAAAAAAAAAAAACUUACAUGAGAUUAUUUCUAAUUGGGCUUAAUUGUUAAAUUUAUAAGUAGAGAUAAAUUGAUUUCAAGUUGUUACUUCAACUUGAGAAUUGAUUGGAAAUUAGAUAAUUGCUAAGUUAAAUUGUAGUGGAUUUUAAAACCCUAGUAGCUUCAAUCUCUUGAAUUAUUUUGUUAGUCUAUUUGCCUUUAAUUUAAUAGCAUCUUUAUUUUUAAUUUUUUCAAACAAAUAUUCUCUUUUCUAAGUAGGGUAGAGUUAUAGUUUAGUUAGAUUAAAUUUUGUUUUCUUAAAUAUUAACAACCCUUAUGAGUUCGACCUCGUUAUUCCUAAUUUAUACUCUAAUAGACUCAUUCACUUGCAAGCAUAUUAAAAUUAGCACAAUAAUAAAAUGCUAUAUAACUACUUGUUAGUAGGAUGCCAUCCAUGAUGCUAGCUUCCGCUGAUUGGUUGAUAUGGUGUUAGCCCACCAAUUUAAUAUGUGAUCCUUCACCCAUCCUUGAAUUUCUCUAACUUCAUCAUACUUAAUUAUGGAGUUUUGAAUUAAAGAUUGCCACAUUCCUCUACAAAUAAAUUGUUCUCCCAGAAUUAAUAUUAAACAAUUUAAAUUCAUCCUGCAUUGUGCUAAGGGCGGUUGCUAGCCCCAAUAAAGCCAGCCAUUCUUACAAUGACUUUUGAUGCUAAUGGAAUAGGAUUUAAAAAAAAAAAAGAUUUUAAAAAAGUUGCAACUCUUUUAAUAUAACUAUUUAAUUUAGACUCACCUCAAAUAAGUUCAAAAUUGUGAGGAAUAGAAGUUUCCAGAUUACAGCUGCAGCUCAGCAGAAGAUUUUGAGAUUGCAGCUCAAAUAUAGUUAGUUAUUAGCUUAGCCCGAGUUAUUAGUAAUUUCUUUUUGAUGAAAUUGAAUGUUGACUAACGACGCAAGAAGUAAAAGUUGUCGGCUGUGCUUAAUUUAGAAUAAUAUAUCUUUUUGUGUUGAUGAACGCAAUUCAAAUCACCUUUCCCUUUUACGAUUGUCAUUGGCAUCCGAUUCCAGCAACACUCUUUUUGCAUUCAUUCGCUUAUUUCUACUGUUUCUUCGGGAAAGAGUUGUUGUUCAUGAUCAUGAAAAUGUUUUAUUUUGAUAAAGGGAAAAUUGCACCUAUACUCCCUAUAUUCAAUGAAAUGUAUAUGGAUUUCGUCUUCCCCUCAGUUUUUUUCCCUCUCCUCUUUUCCUCCCCUCUUCUCUCUUUUUAUUUCUUCAAUCCAAACUUACUGUCACUUAAGUUUUUAAAAAUGAUCAUACAGACACCCUUUUACCCUUUUACUCUAUUAACUUAGAAAAAUUGACUCUAAACUUUAUAAUAUACAAAAAUAUAAUAUUAAAAUGCCUGUGAUGUGUGUGCGUAUAUAUAUAUAAUUUAAUAUGAUUAAUUUGAGAUAUGUUUUAUUAUUAAUAUUUGUAAAAGCAAGAUUUAUUUUAAAUUUUUUAAUAAAUAAAAAUAUGAUAUUCAAAUAAAUACAAAAAUAUUUUUAUUUUUUAUUAUUUUGAAUAUUAUAAAAAAUCUAUAUAUUAUUAAUAUGCCAAUCAAUUUUUUGUUAAUAAUAAAAUUUAUUUUACCCAAAUAUUUUUUACAAAUAUAUUUAUAAUAGGUACAAGCGUAAUACUAUAAGUAAAUAUAAUAAUUUUUGUUUUGAAGAUAUUUCAAUUAUUAAAACACUUAUUUUAAUAUCAUAGGUAUCUUAGAGAAAGAUUUUAUUAUUAAUGGUAUAUUUUCAUUUAUUAAAAGACAUUAAAGUAAAUUUUCUUACUUAUUAUAUUAAAAGAAUAUAAUGGUUAAAAAGGAUAAUGUGUGACGAUGUGAGCAUUUAUGAAACCUUAGAGGUCUACUUAUUCAUUUAAGCAAAGCAUGAGGGCUUAGGUAUCAUUUUUCCUUCAGUAAACUAUCAAAAUUUAGCUAUAAUAUUAUGAGCAAAUAGUACAAUAUCAAUAUAUUUAUGGGAGAUUAGAUAAAGAAUAUUAUUACCACCCUUUUUGGUUAAAACUUUUUCUAACGGAUGUGAAAAAGCUUAAUAAUAAAGGCAAACAAAGUUUUUUAUUUGCGGCCAGCAACGAGUGCAAAGGAACAUAUGAUCUGGACUGAUUUGAGCCAUUAUGAGUCCUUUUGAAUAAUAUUGUUUUGCUGCGCUUGGGAGGACUUAAACUUACUUUACAACUUCAUUGAAUGUUCAUCAAAAGGAAAAUAAAUAAAUAAAUAAAUAAUCGAUCUUGCAUAGAUUAUUUUUCUUUUCUUUUUUUUUUCCCCUGAUUAGUUGGGAGGAUAUUUUGGUAAUGGUUUUGAUGGCUUUCUUAGGAGAUUAAUUAUUUAAUUUCCUCUUCACUUUUAUGCUUUUGCAGCUAAUUGACGUUCGCUAUAUAAUUAGCAAUGAAUUAAACUACUUAAAAGAGAAGCAUAUAGUAGUGUACACAUCUUCCUCAGAGAUCAGAAUAAAUAAAUUAUGGUGGUGUAAAACUUCUACACAAUUUCCAUCCAUCUUUUUCCCAAUCGAUAAUCACAAUCGACCAUGCAAAGAUUGAAAAGAAGGAACUAGCUUGAAGAAUCUAGUGAAAAAACUUGGAACAAAAUAACAUAAUAGUUACAAAUAUAAGAACUCUACAUCCUUAUUUAUAUCAAGAGUUUAUAAUAUUAAAUUACAAUCUUUGUAAUAGAAACACUUUAUUAAAUGAAGGAGGAAUAACUUAAAAGCAUCGAUCGAUCGAGACUGCAAUAAUACAACAAAGAUUAAAGAGGCGUUCAUACAAAGAUUCAUAAAACUAAACAUGGGUUUCCUGGGGGCUCCUGGAAACUUCUUUCCCGGAAACUUUCAAAAGUUCUUUCCAUCGCGUCUGACUUUUUUGAGAAAUGACGCGAACACAGUACGAUUGAGUUAUCGUGUUCUUCCAACAUCACUGACCCGCUGAGGAUUUUUUGUGUUGGUUCAUCAGCCGUCUGCUUAAGAGAACUAGUACUACUCAUGAUUUGCUCUUAUUCAGUAUAAUGAGUAUUUGCUCCUGAGAAGGCUUGCUAGCUCAGUGUUAAUGAGGCUAGCUAUAUAUGCUACAACAUGACUCAAAAACUUAACAGAGAACCAAAACCAUAUUCAUGAACCUCUCAUGAAUCAGAAUCAGAAUAAACAAAGGAAUUGCAUUCCACCUUUCUCAUGACAAAAAUAAUGCCGAUAAAGGUAAAUUUGAGAAUCGAAUAAUUCAAUAAUGAAUCAAGAAUAAUUCGAUGAUCAGAAUAACGGCAGAUGGACGCGAAAAUCAGAAACAAAGUGGCAGCGGUUUUGUGGCUUUCGUGUGGUUUUUCUGGGCGGUGAUUGACGUCGAUGACGCUGAUGUGUGGUCAUCGAUGUCUGAUGAAUGUGAGGGUGGGUUUUAUUGUAACAUAUGUACUUUUAUUUUCUAGAUAAGUGUAUUAUUUUUUUCUUCAACAUAAAAUUUUUAAAAUCAUUAGAUUUAUUACAAAUUGUCACUGGUAAAUUUUUGACUUCACACGAUGAAUAAUGAAUGUAGGUUGUCAAAAUUGGCAUGGGUGUUAAUGGAUUGUGUUUAGAAUAAUUUAAAUUUGACGCCAUAUGAAAUCAAGUCAGCUCAAACGCUAUCCAACAGCAGUACAGUCAGAUUUUAUUUCAACACAAAGGUUUGGCAUUAGCUUAAUUGUUAACAAUAAUAAUAGUUAUAAUAAUAAUAAUUUUUUCCUCUUUUUUUUAUUAUUAUUUUAUCUCUCUUCCUUUGUUCUCUCCUCUUCUUCUUCUCUUUUUUUUUUCUUUCUCUCUCCUGCAAUUUCUUUUCAAUUUCAUCUUCUUAAUCAACAUCAUCGUCAUCACAAAUAUCUUCUUCUUUCUCCUGUCAAUUUCGUUUCUUCUUCUUCUUCAUCAACAUUAAAAUUCUGUUUCAUCUUCAUCAUCGUCAUCACAAUUACAUCAUCUUCAUCAUCAUCACCACAGUUACAUCAUCAAUUCAUACUUUUCAAUGGAAAGAGGGGUAUUUUUGGAAUAUUAAAAAAAUAAUGGGGAUGUCUUCUUCACGAGGGGAAAUGGGAUUCUGAUUCCCAACUCUCUCCUGAAAUCAGAAACUCAGUAAUCACUUCAUAUUUUGGAUGGAACCAUAUAAGUUAUUCUCAUUCUUUUUUUUUUUAAACGAAAUUAUCCCCAUUCUUAAUUUCAAUUUAACAAAUAAAUAAAUUUUUUAUUAUGAUUCCGCUAUUUCCAUUCCGAUUCCAAAAAUGUAAACACACCAUAAAAAUAAUAUUAUUCAUUUUAUCGGGCCCUGACUAUUAUAAAGCGGAACCUGUCACUUGCGUUGGAACUACGGCCUAUAGGUUGAGGCGUUGAGCGUAGCUUCAAAAAUGACCUUAAAGAGGAAAAUAUCAUUACACACAAUCUCUCUCUCUCUCAUAAUUAAGUUCUUCUCUAGGGAUGGCAAUGGGCACCGCCCGCAGCGGGUUUGCCAUUACCAAACCCAAACCCGCACAAAAUUUAAAUUACCAAAUCCACCCGCAACCCGCAGCGGGUUUUAAUUUUUUAAAAAAAACCCACCCGCAGCGGGUUUUAACAAUUACCAAACCCGCAAUGGUAUCCGGCGGAUUUUUUACAGGUUUCCGUAUUUAAAAUCACAAAUAUUUAAUAUAUAAAUUUAUAAUAAUAACCUCAAGUUCCAUAUAACAUAUUCAAUUUUAUAUUUAAACAGUGUAAAUGAAAAAUUAAAAUUUCCACAUCAAUUCAACACAAAUUCUCAAAUUUAAGUAUAAAUUAUACAAAUCUAUUUAAAAAACACAAACUAAUAUCUAAAAAUAAUAAUUACAUUUCAUAUUAUCAUUUAAAACAAGAUCAAAGAGAAUAUAUUUAUUUUAUUCACCACCAUAAGCACCCAUCUAACACAAUGCCUAAAAUAAUAAUUAAGAUUAAUAUUUUCAAAUACUAAUUCGAAGGGAAAUGCCUUUAGUUUUCUUUAGGUUAUGACUUUAGAAUAAGAGAUAAGCCAUAUACACACAUACACAACUUUGAGCCUUUUGCUAUUUGGUAAUUUGAUUAAUUACAUUAUUUUCUUUAUAUAUUUUUAUAUUUAAAUUAAAUUAAAAAUAUUUGAAAAAAAUUAUUGCGGGUUUGGUGGAUAUCCAUGCGGGUAUCCACCGGGUAUAAGAUUAAUACCAAACCCACCCGCAUCCAUAUGCGGGUUUUAAUUUAUAAUACUAAACCCGCCCGCAACGGAUAAAAUUACCCGCAACGGGCGGGUUUUGGCGGGUGGGUUUGGGCGGGUUUACGGGUUUGCGGGUACAAUUGCCAUCCCUAUUCUUCUCGCACCCUUUUUUUUGGGGGGGGGGGGGGGGGUUGCAAAUAUCUUGUAGAAAGAUGAAAAUUCUUGUCCAUUCUUAAUUAAUUUGGGAUCAUAUUUCAGUUUAAGUACAUGUAUAGUCUCUAUGUACUCAAAAGUACCUUAAAAAUACUUGCUAUUAAAUAUAUUACAUUCAUAUUCUUAUUCUUUUAUUUGCUUUUAAUGUAAUACUCUUGCAAUAAUAUUUUUGGGUAUAUUAAUUGAUAUUAAAAAAAGGCUAAUUAACCACAAAAGUAAAAUUCUUAUAAAACAUUUUAAUUCUUUUAAAUUUUAAUCUUUAUUCAAAUUAUCUUAAAAGAAAAAAAGAAAAAAAAUCAUUAUACGGAAUCUCUCUCUCAUAAUUAUGUUCUCCUCUUUCAUUUGCUUGGUGCCUUUUUUUUAUUUUUAAAGUUGGCAAAUCACUUGAAUAUAAAAAUAUGAAAAGUUGUUGUGUAUCCUUAAGGUCUUUAUUUUUGGCGCUUAGGAUUUGAUUUAUUAAAGGUUUUUUCUGUUUUGAAAAUUUUGCAUGUUCUUAUUAAGCCAUGUCUAUUUUCAAUUUUUUUUCUUCAUAUAGCAUUGCCUUAAAAACUAAUAAAAUAUGUACAUAUUUUGAGUGUUUUUAGAAGAGAGCGAUACUAUAAAUUGAAAAUCGAAAGGGGAAGAAAUUGGAGGGCAGUUUUGGAAUCGUUGGGGUCUUAUUGGGGUAUCUUGAAUAGAGUGGUUUUAUGAGGAAUUUUUAGGGGUGUCAAAAUCUCGAGUCCCCUUAUGAACACUCAGGACACAUACCUUUCAAAUCCAUUGGGCAUAGACUAGGUUCAAGGCUAACACAUAGUCACGUACCCUUUAAAGGGGUCAAUUGCUCAAAAGUGACUUCUCUGUGAAGCUAAGGAUAUUUCUUUGGAUAAUUUGUACUUGAAGUUUGUAACUAGAAAGACAAGUAACCGCAGAAUUUAAAGCACUUUUGAUUUAACUGAUACUGUAAGCAUAGUUCUAUAAUUCUCCAAGAGAAAUACAAUACUGAAUUCAAUAAGCUACAACUGAGAGCUAAAAUGCAGAAUUUUAUCUACUUAUAGGUUACAAGCUAGUAGCAUGUGUAAUAUUUAUAGUAGAAGUUAGUUACAAUAAUACAAAUACUCUCUUACCUUGAUUUUAGUUUCUCUGCUUUUCUCUGUAUCCAAAUACAUCGUUAUAAAGCUUCACAAAAAUUAAUCAAACCAUUUAAUAUUUUAUAUCCUUCAAAUUACAUGCACCAUUUCCGUUAGUGGUUGGUUCCUUUCUCUCCAACGUCGAAGUUCUCCACAAUUAUUUAUAGCAAGGUUGUAAUGUCACAAUCUUGGAUCGAAACAGGACAAAAACACCUUAUUAAACGAAAGUCGAACAAAUUGAAAGCACAUUUGUCAGACGAGGUUGUAAUAAAUAUUUUCAUUGAAAAAUAAAGAUUUUAGAGAGGCAUUCAUUCAAAGAUUCAUAAAAUAAAAAAGUGAAAUUACAAAUCUAUUUACUUGUAAAACUGAAAUUUCAAGCUGCUCAAAUAACACAGUUCUAGUAAAAGUAGAAUAAUAAUUACAACUCAGAAACUUGUCUCCCGGGGGAGAUUGGACAAUAAAUAUUGAUCACCAAUCUUUUAGUUAAACUUUUUUAAUAGAUGUGAAAAAGUCUGAUUUAAAAUUUUUUAUUUUUUUAAUUAUUAACUCAUGCAUCAUUCAAGUUAGAACUUAAGACCUCAACUUUAAUAAAUCUGCUAUUUACCACUGGAGCGCAGGACCUCUCUUGACUAGGCACGGAUCUGAUCCGGGCCGAUUUGGAUUUGUAGUACUGGAUCUGAUCCGGGCUGAUUUGGGUUUUGACCCAUUAGCGUUAGCAGGAGCCGUUUGAGUAUCCUUUUGCGGAUUUUGUUGUGAUUGAGGGUAGUUUCGGUAGGAUUUAUACAUCUUUUCCGUCCUCUCUUGAGUUUUGCCCAAAGGACCUACGUGAAAGCUCAACGUCCAUGUGAUUGGUUGUAAUUGAUGUUUGCUAUAUAUGCUCAAAGGCUUAGCAAAGAAUCAAACAUAUUCACGAUGAAACCUCUCAAGAAUCACAACGAAGGUCGUUUUCUUCUCUAUUUCCGUGAGACUUCUUUUCCACUGAAAUUAAAACUCGAAAGAAUUCUGAUUUGCAAAAAUGAAUGAUCAGAAUUCAGAAAAUUCUUUUUGCAGAAGAGGAAUUAUUGAUUACUACUUAGACUGAUUAAAAAAAAAAUUGCUUCUUCAUUUUGUAAAAAUUUCAAUUUCUUUUUGAUGAAAUUGAAUGUUGACUAACGACGCAAGAAGUAAAAGCUGUCGGCUGUGCCUAAUUUAGAAUAAUAUAUCUUUUUGUGUUGAUGAACGCAAUUCAAAUCACCUUUCCCUUUUACGAUUGUCAUUGGCAUCCGAUUCCAGCAACACUCUUUCGCAUCCAUUCGCUUAUUUCUACUGUUUCUUCGGGAAAGAGUUGUUGUUCGUGAUCAUGAAAAUGUUUUAUUUUGAUAAAGGGAAAAUUGCACCUAUACUCCCUAUAUUUAAUGAAAUGUACAUGGAUCUCGUCUUCCCCUCAGUUUUUUUCCCUCUCCUCUUUUCCUCUCCUCUUCUCUCUUUUUAUUUCUUCAAUCCAAACUUACUGUAACUUAAGUUUUUAAAAAUGAUCAUAUAGACACCCUUUUACCCUUUUACUCUAUUAACUUAGAAAAAUUGACUCU
rnacentral:lncRNA from 1 species